rnacentral:rRNA from 1 species
UACGAAGGGGGCUAGCGUUGUUCGGAAUUACUGGGCGUAAAGCGUAUGUAGGCGGAUCGUUAAGUCGGGUGUGAAAGCCCGGGGCUUAACCCCGGGUCUGCAUCCGAUACGGGCAGGCUAGAGGUAUGCAGGGGAGAACGGAAUUCCUGGUGUAGCGGUGGAAUGCGCAGAUAUCAGGAGGAACACCGGUGGCGAAGGCGGCGACCUGGUCCUUGACUGACGCUGAGGCGCGAAAGCGUGGGGAGCAAACAGG